AUGGGUGUGAAACCUGUGUAUGGCACUUAGAGAUUUAAUUUAUGCACUCUGCCACAGGGUGGUGCAAAUCUCUAAUAAAGCUGCUCCCAAAUUUUUAUGCGCCACGGACCGGUUACAUGUCAGACAAUAUAUUCACGGACCGGCCUUUAUAUAAAUGUAUAAUACAUUUAUAAUAAAACCCCCAUAACAAUAAAACUCACUAUUAAGUAUCUGCGCCGUGGCUUUGCGGGCUCGACUGGGGAAACAUGUUACGUGACUGGGACGAGCGUCUUGUCCUGAAUUAAUCGUUGAUAAAAAUGUUUUGUUUUGUUUUUUUCUGUGCAGCUUGGUACCAAAUGACCAGACAUCUGCUCAAAUACAUGUUCAUGGAGCUUUAUUGUCAUGAGUGAGGUGUAUGGUAACUGUGUAGCGUUGUAAUCUGAUCUUGUUGGCGUCUCACAUUCCAGUUCCACUGAAAAUAGCAGUGUGCAGUUUUGUUCAAGCAAGCCUUCCAAUUCUAUUCGGAAGGUAGGGGAGAAGACAAGUUUUCUAAGGGUGAAAAAAAUGACAGACUAUAACAAUUUAUCUUGGUAUUAGUAAAUUCCACACAACACAGUUUUAAGCAACGAUGCGGCUAAAACACUCAAGAAUAGCGCAAAACUAAACAUUGGACCACAGUAGCUAUUCCAAAGUGACCGUUGAUGAGCCCUCAUCCAAAUUUGUUUGAAGAUACCAGAAUAUGUGUAAGCAGCCGAAAUACUAUGCAGCUGACACAUUACAUACAGCCGUAACGGUUCUUGAGUGGACAAAAACAGCUUUUGAUAGUUCUCACUCGGGGUAAAUUCGAUUUCAUCCACCCAUUCAUUUUCUGUACCACUUGUCCCCACGGAGGUCGCGGGCGUGCUGGAGCCUAUCCCAGCAGUCAUCGGGCAGUAGGCGGGGGACACCCUGAACCCAUUGCCAGCCAAUCGCAGGGCUCACAUAGACAACCAUUCGCACUCACACCUACGGGCAAAUUGGAGUGCUCAAUUGACCUAUCAUGCAUGUUUUGGGAAUGUGGGAGGAAACCGGAGUACCAAGAGGAAACCCACGCAAGCAACAUGCAAGCUCCACACAGGAAGGCCAGAGGCGGAACCCAGGACCUCUGCACUGUGAGGCGGACGUGCUAACUACGGUUCUACCUUGCUGCCCCAAAUUUGAUUUCAGUGAUUGCUAAAAAACACACAAAUAAAUAUUAAAGGCACCAUUAUUUUGGCUGACAAAAUACAGAGAUGCUCAAAUGCCACUUGUGACCUGAAAUGCCAGUUGCCCAUUGACACAGUCCUGUAAAACUAUAUAAAUUUUUAGGAUGAGCUGUUUCAUUCCCACGGCAGAUAAAACGUGGAAGGCUUACCCAGAUAUUUGAUGGUGAAUCCCCUCGGCGGGUUGAGGGACCUCCGCAUCCAUCCCUCCCUCAGUACUUCCAGGUGGUCCUCCUUCCCCUGAAUAAGCAGCACAUGCUCGUCUAUCCAUCCCAGGAAGAAAGUCUCGGACACAGCCUCGCUCGUCGCUCUCUGACACUCCGGCCGCCCCCACCGCCUCCCCUGCACCGACCCUGGACAGCACGAUGGCCAGAGAGUGGGGAGCGAUCUGCAGAAAGGACUCCAUGCUCGCCUAGCUGGUUGCCGAUUUCAGCGUUAUCAUCGUUAUUUAUCUUUCUCCAACUGCAUCGAGCUCGAUGGGCAACAUCAAGUCCAUGUUAGCUAGCAACAGCGAUGCUGUACAGUAGCCGCAUAAUAUCCUUCGCACAAGUCAAUGGCCAUCAAGCUAGCAGCCUAGCUGCCGUUACCUCCUUGCAGCUUCACGCCAAAUCCAUUCCAACUCAUUCAGGUCCGCCCUUGCCUUUAGACAGGUUUUCGCACACCAUUUAGUGGGUCCAUUAUUUACCAAAUAGUCACGUGGAGCGCAAUCCACCAGAACCACGAGAUGUCAUUCGUGAUUUAACUGAUUUUUCAAAUAAAACCCACGUCGUUACCGUUGAAUGCACCUAGCUGAAUGCUAGCAUUUAAUAAAUUCGCCCAGGCAACAGAUGCGGCGACUGACCCUCUUUUCUCGUUCUGGCAGCAUCAAGUGCGGUGGGACGCCGGCUGCAUGCUUUUUAGUCACAAUUUACGAUGAGGGUGGCAAACCUCCGAGUGAAGGUCUGAGCUCCGUAACGUGCCUGGUACGAGCCGUGGGUGGGCGAGGACACUGCCGAGGUACGGAUCCGCCUCAUCCAGGUACGGAGGUUGCGUCAAGAGGAUGUUGACCAGAGAUAGCACUUUAUCCCGGAUACAUUUUCAAAUUAAGACUGUAAAGUAAUCACUGUAAAGUGCAGUAUGUGAAAUAGUUUUCGUUCUGACCACCAACAACCCAAAAAAGCUUUUUUUGCCUCUCCACACCAGUAAUCAAAAUACCGUGAUUUUCCAUGCAUAAUGCCCAAAUUUAACUAAUUUAUCGUCCUAAAAUCUGGGGUGCGCAUUAUGCAUGGAUACAACAAUUUUUGAAGAAAAUCUCCCUCGAAAUAAAACUUGAAAUCACC